rnacentral:rRNA from 1 species
UACGGAGGAUCCAAGCGUUAUCCGGAUUUAUUGGGUUUAAAGGGUGCGUAGGCGGGUAAGCAAGUCAGCGGUGAAAGUUUGCGGCUCAACCGUGAAAUUGCCGUUGAAACUGGUUACCUUGAGUGUAGAUGAGGUGGGUGGAAUUCGUGGUGUAGCGGUGAAAUGCUUAGAUAUCACGAAGAACACCAAUUGCGUAGGCAGCUCACUGGACUACAACUGACGCUGAGGCACGAAGGUGCGGGGAUCAAACAGG